UAUGAUUUCUUGACUUAUCUUGAAGUGUUAUGCAAAGAAAAAGAAAGCAACCCUAGUUCCAUGUCCAUAUUCACACAUGGCUUCCAUUUUCUCUCGACUUUCAAAGCGCAGUUCAAGGAGUGGAUAUUCACAAAAGAAACACAUUUCUUCACGGUUCCCUUAAAGGAAAAUAGUUAUCAAUCAUGAAACAUCAGAAGGGCGAUGGUUAAUAGCAAUUCUAGUAGAGAAGGAGUGGUCUUCAAGAUAUUCAACAGAUCUCUUAAGAUCAAAGAGUUUGCAUGGAGUCUUUGCAUGAGGUCCUAAUAUGGAGAUAUUAAUCAAAGUUUGAGAUAGGCAUGUAAAGACAAUAAAAUCAAAUGAUGCAAGCAUCUACCAGAGGUAUCUUAAUUGCGAAAGUUGGUUGGAGCAGAGGUCAAUUUUCCAGUUGAGCACCUGAAACUUUUCUUACUUGGUGCAGUUUUAGAUGAUACAAAAGGUGGUCGAGAAAUGCGUGUCAAUCUUAAUGAGAGUGGUAUGUUAGAUCAUAUAUGUCCAACAACGGGUCUUGAAAGAACACUCAUUUUGUCUCUUUUUAUUCAACAUUCAUUAGUGGAAUUUUAAAGAGUGUAGAUCUCUGGAAUACAUGAAAUAUCUCAUAGAUGAACUCAAUUACAUAGUUAAACUUGUAAUAGUUUUAGGAACAUUCAAAAUGAAGGAAACUAGAAUAUUUUAUGUGUCUGUUGCUGAAAGGUAGCACAAUUUUUAUGCAAAUUCAGUGCUAAACUGUAACUUUUCUAUAUUCAUCCUAAUCUAACAAAAAUUUAAAGAUAA